rnacentral:rRNA from 1 species
ACGGCUUUCGGGUUGUAAACCUCUUUCAGCAGAGAAGAAGCGAAAGUGACGGUACCUGCAGAAGAAGCGCCGGCUAAUUACGUGCCAGCAGCCGCGGUAAUACGUAGGGCGCAAGCGUUGUCCGGAAUUAUUGGGCGUAAAGAGCUCGUAGGCGGCUUGUCACGUCGGGUGUGAAAGCCCGGGGCUUAACCCCGGGUCUGCAUUCGAUACGGGCUAGCUAGAGUGUGGUAGGGGAGAUCGGAAUUCCUGGUGUAGCGGUGAAAUGCGCAGAUAUCAGGAGGAACACCGGUGGCGAAGGCGGAUCUCUGGGCCAUUACUGACGCUGAGGAGCGAAAGCGUGGGGAGCGAACAGGAUUAGAUACCCUGGUAGUCCACGCCGUAAACGGUGGGAACUAGGUGUUGGCGACAUUCCACGUCGUCGGUGCCGCAGCUAACGCAUUAAGUUCCCCGCCUGGGGAGUACGGUCGCAAGAUUAAAACUCAAAGGAAUUGACG